UACGGGAGCAGCAGUGGGGAAUAUUGCACAAUGGGCGCAAGCCUGAUGCAGCCAUGCCGCGUGUAUGAAGAAGGCCUUCGGGUUGUAAAGUACUUUCAGUCGUGAGGAAGGUGUUAAGGUUAAUAACCUUAGCAAUUGACGUUAGCGACAGAAGAAGCACCGGCUAACUCCGUGCCAGCAGCCGCGGUAAUACGGAGGGUGCGAGCGUUAAUCGGAAUUACUGGGCGUAAAGGGCACGCAGGCGGUUAAUUAAGUUGGAUGUGAAAUCCCCGGACUUAACCUGGGAAUGGCAUUCAAGACUGGUUAGCUAGAGUCUUGUAGAGGGGGUAGAAUUCCAUGUGUAGCGGUGAAAUGCGUAGAGAUGUGGAGGAAUACCGGUGGCGAAGGCGGCCCCUGGACAAAGACUGACGCUCAUGUGCGAAAGCGUGGGGAGCAAACAGGGAUUAGAUACC
rnacentral:rRNA from 1 species